AACCUGCCCAAGAGAUCGGGAUAACACCUGGAAACAGAUGCUAAUACCGGAUAACAACAGAUGAUGCCUAUCAACUGUUUAAAAGAUGGUUCUGCUAUCACUCUUGGAUGGACCUGCGGUGCAUUAGCUAGUUGGUAGGGUAACGGCCUACCAAGGCGAUGAUGCAUAGCCGAGUUGAGAGACUGAUCGGCCNCAUUGGGACUGAGACACGGCCAAACUCCUACGGGAGGCAGCAGGG
rnacentral:rRNA from 1 species